UAUGUACCGCUGGCGGCAUGCCUUACACAUGCAAGUCGAACGGCAGCGGGGGUGCUUGCACCUGCCGGCGAGUGGCGAACGGGUGAGUAAUGCAUCGGAACGUACCCAGUCGUGGGGGAUAACGCAGCGAAAGCUGUGCUAAUACCGCAUACGUCCUGAGGGAGAAAGCAGGGGAUCUUCGGACCUUGUGCGAUUGGAGCGGCCGAUGUCAGAUUAGCUAGUUGGUGAGGUAAAAGCUCACCAAGGCGACGAUCUGUAGCUGGUCUGAGAGGAUGAUCAGCCACACUGGAACUGAGACACGGUCCAGACUCCUACGGGAGGCAGCAGUGGGGAAUUUUGGACAAUGGGGGCAACCCUGAUCCAGCCAUGCCGCGUGAGUGAAGAAGGCCUUCGGGUUGUAAAGCUCUUUCGGCCGGGAAGAAAUCGUGCAGGCUAAUACCCUGUAUGGAUGACGGUACCGGAAUAAAAAGCACCGGGUUAACUACGU
rnacentral:rRNA from 1 species